GUGGAUUUUUCCACCGGUAAAUAUGGCGCGAAACAGGAAUGAAAAGUCGCUUAAAAAAUGGCUCCUAAACCUCAAAUUUUUUAAACGACUUUGAGAAAGUCUAGUGUGGUUGCCAUUAAAACUUCCACCAUGAGCUGUCAUCUGCUUGGCAUCAGCUUGCUCUUUAAGGCAAUGUGUUUCUCAAACUUCUGGUUGCCAACCUUUGGGAAAUCAUGGCAAAUAUGAAUGCUGCAAGUUCCAGAUUAGGUGCAUGGAACGAUUGUUGAAAAAGCAGGAACAGACGGUUGAAAAUCCCCAUGCUGAUGUGGAGACACACCUUCAAACAUGAAUUGUAGUUAGCAAAAAAUGGUAAUAAUUCAACUCAAUACAUUCAAUCUCUCUUGUUAUGGAAUAGUUUGGGCCUUUUUUCAAAGAAGGCUGUAUAAAGCAAUCUCUACAUACAGUAGUUUAUAAUCUUAGCUGGAUUGAAGCACUUAUACUUUAUAACAUUGUGUUUCAAUAGGGUUCUCCUUCAUGGAUGAAGAUGUACAUAUAUUCGUUUUGUCAUAUAGUCAUUUUGUACACCUUAUUAUAUAUUUGUAUUAGUAUUUCGCUGCUGUCACUAUUGCAUUUCACCCUGAAAGUGACAUAAUUUGUAGUUGGCAGCCUACCUGAGAAACAGGUAUCUUCAGAAUUGGUGGACGAAUCACAUUGUUGUAGGAAUUAUGUGGGUUAUCUGGACCCUCGAACAGACUGAAUACUACUGUGUUCUUGGUUGAGUUUGGGUUACCCAUCUCAAAGGUCAUCUUAAAGGAGUUUCCUCCUUUGUCUCCUCCAAAUUUUAUCCAGAUCUCAGUUGCUGGGAUAAAACCAUUAUACCAUGUAAGUCGACCAUUCCUUUUAAUAUAACAACAUUACAAUAAUUACUGUUAAUCAUGUGAAGAAGCCUGUUUUCUGUUCCCAAGCAGCAAUAGAUUCCUCAAGUGAUUGAAUAUCUUGUGGGAGGUAAAUGUACUUUGGACCUAGAUGAAUAUUAAUAGCCAUACAGACUUUCCGAACAGUAGUUGACACAGUUGGGAUGGCAACACCAAAUGUGUUGGCUGUCAUAAUCAAAGCUCCAGAAUCCUUCAGAAAAUACAAAGCAAUUGCAACCUGCAAUAACAAAAAAUAUUAAAUUCUAUUAACCAUUUGUUCGGUGUAUCCUCUAAGGGGUUUAAAUGAGGUUGCACGAUCUGUAAAGUGGAAAAAUAAUACAGGGGUGCAUAGGGUUUUUCCACAUUUUCAGGCUUUCCAUGACUAUCAAGGAUGUUUGAAAAGAAUUAAUGAUUGCUUGUUUCUACACAUUGUGUGAUUCCAGAAAUGAUCCAUAACCCCUUAUUGAAGGGGGUUGAGAUUUGCCCCCUGACCCCACCCCUCUGGAAUUUCCAGUGAAAAUUACAGUUUCAAAGAUCAAGCACUAAUUGCAUUUAUUUGGUGUCCUUUUUUAUUUUACAGUACAAUAUACACAAUCCAUAACUUUGAUGAAGAGGCCUCUGCAUGCAAGCAGGGUAAUUUUUUGGUAAAAAAUACAUGAUUUUCCAUGCCUGAAAAAGACUUUUGUAAAAUCAAUCAUUUUCCAGGUUUUGAAAUUACUGCAAUUUUUAAUAUUCUGCAAACUCUAGUCAACAAUUCCCUGUCAAACUGCUUUUUGACUUUUGUCAAUCGAAAUCCUGAGGUCUUCCAAACAUUGAAAAUUUUAGUAAAGACCCAGUCUACGGACUGAGUGUGAAUUAAUGAGUUUUCACACCCGGGCCAUGCAUUUACUGAGGUGCUGUUUUGCUAGGCAACGGGGUCGACGCUUUCACCUAAUAACAACGGCGGGAAAUUUGAGGCAAAUAGCUCUUCAGAAAUAUGAGUACCUAGACGUUUGGCAGUGCACUUUGAAAAGCUAAAAAAACUGUUGCCGCUUCAAGAAAGAGUCUACAAGUCAGGAAAUUUUGGGGAUAAAAGAACGCAGUACCGAGAUACAACAAAUGAAUAUUUGACACAAGCUGUAUUUAGUAGCUCCGAGCACCUGUUCACUUACGACUUUAAGCUCGAAUAUCCAGGAAACGGUAGAAUAUUAUUAAGAAGUUUGUAUGAGGGGUUUGUAAAGUAAUACUUCAAAAAUAUGUGCCUAACGUUAGUAUGUCAGGAGGGCUCGGCAGAAUAAAGUAAUGUUCGAAAGUGCUAAACAUGUCCUAUGGUUGAGUAAGUUUGUGCUCGCGUAUAAAAAUAUUUUUUGUGCACUAUGUAAGCCAGCAAAUAAGAGAUCAUGUAUCGCUAGUUGUUCUUGAGUUACUUAUCUAUUUAUAUACUUCGUAUAUACUUCGUAUAUAAAUAGAUAAGUAACUCAAGAACAACUAGCGAUACAUGUCAUAAUCAAUGCUUUCGCGGGAAAUUAUUCUAAGUGUUCUCACUCGUGUUUAGCGGCUGAAUAGGGAAAACCACCAGCUUGUAACAUUCCAUGCAUGCUUAGUCACGUCAGAAACUAAAUGGUAACGCGAUUUCUUUCCGUUUCUAAUACCCUCUUCCGUAAAAAAGAUGAGAUCGCGAAAAACUUAAAUAUUACUUUGGCUUACGAUAAGACUGUUAAACCGGUUCUUAGGGUAGAAUUUCUUGUUUAAGUAAACCGACUCUUUUCAUAAUUUAAUAUGCAAAUUUUAUUCUCAUAAUGUCACUAAACAAGGCUGAUAUCAGGCCCACACCCAGGGGCAACAACAGCCGAAAGUUGUUGCCGAACUUUCGGUUCUCAAUAGACGUGCUAUUCGUAGACAAAACUAUAAAGCAUAAGCUAGAUCCAAUCUGUUAUGUCAUUUAUCCAAAAGUCAGACUUUAUUCGUAGCUAAAACCGACAAUUAAAGUCCCGUGGACACUCCAAAGGCAUAAAAAACCCUUUUUGUUCUUUCGGGGGUGGUCAGACUUUUAUCAGAAAACUUUCUCCCUUCCCCCCCGGGUUUCGGAUUUCGCAUCCCCCCUAAGAAAAAUCCUGGGUACGGGCCUGGAUAUUGCACUGGUUUUGAGUGACGUGGCUUUCAAUUUUGCCUGCCGGUAGUUCUGGCGCUACCUUGAGGAAAAGGAAAGCGGGUUCCGCGCUCAGCGGACUAGAUAAGG